UCCCUGGUGGCUCAGAGGUUAAAGCGUCUGCCUGCAAUGCGGGAGACCAGGGUUCAAUCCCUGGGUCGGGAA
rnacentral:tRNA from 1 species